UAAACCAUGCACCGAAGCUGCGGCAGCGACACUAUGUGUUGUUGGGUAGGGGAGCGUUCUGUAAGCCUGCGAAGGUGACCUGUGAGGGUUGCUGGAGGUAUCAGAAGUGCGAAUGCUGACAUAAGUAACGAUAAAGCGGGUGAAAAGCCCGCUCGCCGGAAGACCAAGGGUUCCUGUCCAACGUUAAUCGGGGCAGGGUGAGUCGACCCCUAAGGCGAGGCCGAAAGGCGUAGUCGAUGGGAAACAGGUUAAUAUUCCUGUACUUGGUGUUACUGCGAAGGGGGGACGGAGAAGGCUAUGUUAGCCGGGCGACGGUUGUCCCGGUUUAAGCAUGUAGGCUGGUUGUCCAGGCAAAUCCGGAUAAUCAAGGCUGAGGUGUGAUGACGAGGCACUACGGUGCUGAAGUAACAAAUGCCCUGCUU
rnacentral:rRNA from 1 species